rnacentral:rRNA from 1 species
UACGAAGGGGGCUAGCGUUGUUCGGAAUUACUGGGCGUAAAGCGUGCGCAGGCGGCCAUCCAAGUCAGACGUGAAAUCCCUCAGCUUAACUGGGGAACUGCGUCUGAUACUGGAUGGCUUGGAUUCGGGAGAGGAAUGCGGAAUUCCCGGUGUAGAGGUGAAAUUCGUAGAUAUCGGGAGGAACACCGGUGGCGAAGGCGGCGACCUGGGUAGAUACUGACGCUGAGGCGCGAAAGCCAGGGGAGCGAACGGG